rnacentral:rRNA from 1 species
UACGGUGAAUACGUUCCCGGACCUUGUACACACCGCCCGUCAAGCCAUGGAAGCUGGGUGUACCUAAAGUCGGUAACCGCAAGGAGCCGCCUAGGGUAAAACUAGUAACUGGGCUA